rnacentral:rRNA from 1 species
CCAGACUCCUACGGGAGGCAGCAGUGAGGAAUAUUGGUCAAUGGGCGGAAGCCUGAACCAGCCAAGUCGCGUGAGGGAAUAAGGCCCUACGGGUCGUAAACCUCUUUUGCCGGGGAGCAAGGGCCGGGACGCGUCCCGGCCCGGAGAGUACCCGAAGAAAAAGCAUCGGCUAACUCCGUGCCAGCAGCCGCGGUAAUACGGAGGAUGCGAGCGUUAUCCGGAUUUAUUGGGUUUAAAGGGUGCGCAGGCGGAGGUGCAAGUCAGUGGUCAAAUUGCGGGGCUCAACCCCGUACUGCCGUUGAAACUGCAUCCCUUGAGUGCGCGAGAAGUAUGCGGAAUGCGUGGUGUAGCGGUGAAAUGCAUAGAUAUCACGCAGAACUCCGAUUGCGAAGGCAGCCUGCCGCAGCGUUACUGACGCUGAAGCUCGAAAGCGUGGGUAUCGAACAGGAUUAGAUACCCGAGUA